rnacentral:rRNA from 1 species
GACGAACGCUGGCGGCGUGCCUAACACAUGCAAGUCGAGCGAUGAAGCCCUUCGGGGUGGAUUAGCGGCGGACGGGUGAGUGACACGUGGGUAACCUGCCUCAAAGAGGGGGAUAGCCUCCCGAAAGGGAGAUUAAUACCGCAUAAUAUCAUGUUUUCGCAUGAAGAUAUGAUUAAAGGAGCAAUCCGCUUUGAGAUGGACCCGCGGCGCAUUAGCUAGUUGGUGAGGUAACGGCUCACCAAGGCCACGAUGCGUAGCCGACCUGAGAGGGUGAUCGGCCACAUUGGAACUGAGACACGGUCCAGACUCCUACGGGAGGCAGCAGUGGGGAAUAUUGCACAAUGGGCGAAAGCCUGAUGCAGCAACGCCGCGUGAGUGAUGACGGCCUUCGGGUUGUAAAACUCUGUCUUUGGGGACGAUAAUGACGGUACCCAAGGAGGAAGCCACGGCUAACUACGUGCCAGCAGCCGCGGUAA